GAUGAACGCUGGCGGCGUGCUUAACACAUGCAAGUCGAACGGAAAGGCCCAAGCUUGCUUGGGUACUCGAGUGGCGAACGGGUGAGUAACACGUGGGUGAUCUGCCCUGCACUUCGGGAUAAGCCUGGGAAACUGGGUCUAAUACCGGAUAGGACCACAUUUUGGUUGGUGUGGUGGAAAGUUUUUCGGUGUGGGAUGAGCUCGCGGCCUAUCAGCUUGUUGGUGGGGUAAUGGCCUACCAAGGCGUCGACGGGUAGCCGGCCUGAGAGGGUGUACGGCCACAUUGGGACUGAGAUACGGCCCAGACUCCUACGGGAGGCAGCAGUGGGGAAUAUUGCACAAUGGGCGCAAGCCUGAUGCAGCGACGCCGCGUGGGGGAUGACGGCCUUCGGGUUGUAAACUCCUUUCGCUAGGGACGAAGCGCAAGUGACGGUACCUGGAGAAGAAGCACCGGCUAACUACGUG
rnacentral:rRNA from 1 species